rnacentral:rRNA from 1 species
AGCGAACGCUGGCGGCAGGCCUAACACAUGCAAGUCGAACGGAUCCUUCGGGAUUAGUGGCGGACGGGUGAGUAACACGUGGGAACGUGCCUUUUGGUUCGGAACAACUCAGGGAAACUUGAGCUAAUACCGAAUGUGCCCUUCGGGGGAAAGAUUUAUCGCCAUUAGAGCGGCCCGCGUCUGAUUAGCUUGUUGGUGAGGUAAAGGCUCACCAAGGCUACGAUCAGUAGCUGGUCUGAGAGGAUGAUCAGCCACAUUGGGACUGAGACACGGCCCAAACUCCUACGGGAGGCAGCAGUGGGGAAUCUUGCGCAAUGGGCGAAAGCCUGACGCAGCCAUGCCGCGUGAAUGAUGAAGGUCUUAGGAUUGUAAAAUUCUUUCACCGGGGACGAUAAUGACGGUACCCGGAGAAGAAGCCCCGGCUAACUUCGUG